rnacentral:rRNA from 1 species
UACGUAGGGUGCGAGCGUUGUCCGGAAUUAUUGGGCGUAAAGAGCUCGUAGGCGGUUUGUCGCGUCGACUGUGAAAACUGGGGGCUUAACUCUCAGCUUGCAGUUGAUACGGGCAGACUUGAGUUCGGUAGGGGAGACUGGAAUUCCUGGUGUAGCGGUGAAAUGCGUAGAUAUCGGAAGGAACAUCAGUGACGAAAGCGACUUCCUGGACCAGUACCGACGUUCAGGCACGAAAGCGUGGGGAGCAAACAGG